rnacentral:rRNA from 1 species
UACGAAGGGGGCUAGCGUUGCUCGGAAUCACUGGGCGUAAAGCGCGCGUAGGCGGAUUGUUAAGUCAGGGGUGAAAUCCUGGAGCUCAACUCCAGAACUGCCUUUAUACUGGCGAUCUUGAGUCCGGGAGAGGUGAGUGGAACUGCGAGUGUAGAGGUGAAAUUCGUAGAUAUUCGCAAGAACACCAGUGGCGAAGGCGCUCACUGGCCCGGUACUGACGCUGAGGUGCGAAAGCGUGGG